GUUUGGGAAAGAGAAUAUUGGAAUUCAUAUUUCUUUAAAUCAUUCUUUUAAACUUUUAAUUUUUAUGUAGUUUUAGUACAUCUUAUUUGCUAGUACUGUGUCAUCUUUUUGGCUGUAUUUUUCACUGGCUGCCACCUGGCCAAAUCACCACUUGGGUUAUAACAGCAGCCUCUGACUGGUCUCCUUCCGUCUGACCUUGGCCCCUGCACUCUACUCUCAACGUAGCUCUCAGAGUGAUGGAACUCAGAACUUGUCACUCCUGCUCAAAAACUUCCAGUUUCACCCAGGGGAAGUAUCAAGGUGACAUGAGGGGACAGGAAAUAUUGUCCCUAAAUGUUCUAAGAGUGGAUCUCCCAUGUAUUCAAGCAAUCGAGGGGUGUUUAAUGAGCUCCAUCUACAUAGCAAUGAUACAGCAUAGCUCUGCUGGGGCUCUCUGCUCUCCCCUUCUCCACAAAAGGGAAGGACAGGUAAGAACAGGCACAAUAAAAUAGAAACCAGACAGAAAGAAUUGGGAACAAGGAGACAAGACAAGAAUCAUGCUUUACGUGAUUUAAUCCUAAUAUUUUUAUGAGAGGAUGGCUAUCAUCAUUUCAUUUUAAAGAUGAGGAAAAUGAAGCCGGGUGCGGUGGCUCAUGCCUGUAAUCCCAGCACUUUGGAAGGCCGAGGAAGAUGGCUCACCUGAGGUCAGGAGUUCGAGACCAGCCUGGCCAGAGAGAUGGCCAGAGAUGGCUAGAGAUGGUUGCUGCAAAUGCCAUUAUUUCAUUCCUUUUUAUGGCUGAGUAGUAUUCCAUGAGGGAAGGAAUUAGGAGCGGGAAGGAGAUUGACUGUUAGUUUCUUAGGAUUGGACUAACAAAAGUGGAGGUUGUUACUUACACUGCAAAAGAAACAACCAGAGCUGUGUCACUCAGAAGGCUGAAAAGAAUCAGGCUGACAGCAUAAUGCAGUGAAGAUGGGUGAAGAGAGAUGUGUUUCAUCUGAAAUUUGAAGGGCUUUACAACUCUUCUCCUUUAACUAACUUACCAUCCUUUAACUAACUUACCACCCAAAAUGAAUUCUGUAGCCUUUGUCA
rnacentral:lncRNA from 1 species